AUUGAACGCUGGCGGCGUGCUUAACACAUGCAAGUCGCGCGGUAACAGGCGUAGCAAUACGUGCUGACGAGCGGCGAACGGGUGCGUAAUACAUGGGAAUCUGCCUUUUAGUGGGGAAUAACCCGGCGAAAGCCGGGCUAAUGCCGCAUAAGAUCUUCGGAUGAAAGCGGGGGAUCGUAAGACCUCGCGCUGAUAGAUGAGCCCAUGCCGGAUUAGCAGUUGGUGAGGUAACGGCUCACCAAGGCGACGAUCCGUAGCUGGUCUGAGAGGACGGCCAGCCACACUGGGACUGAGACACGGCCCAGACUCCUACGGGAGGCAGCAGUGGGG
rnacentral:rRNA from 1 species